rfam:Salmo salar isolate Sally breed double haploid chromosome ssa02, whole genome shotgun sequence.
GGCUCUGUGGCUCAGUUGGUAGAGCAUGGUGUUUGCAAUGCCAGCAUGGUGUGUGCAACGCCAGGGUUGUGGGUUCGAUUCCCACUGGGGUCC